GAUGAACGCUAGCGGCAGGCCUAAUGCACGCAAGUCGAACGGUGUCUUCGGACAUAGUGGCGCACGGGUGCGUAACACGUAUGCAACCUACCUUACAUUGGGGGAUAGCCUUUCGAAAGGGAGAUUAAUACCGCAUAAGACAGUAGCUGGGCAUCCAGCAGCUGUUAAAGAUUUAUCGAUGUAAGCUGGGCAUGCGUCCAAUUAGCUAGUUGGUGAGGUAACGGCUCACCAAGGCAAUGAUUGGUAGGGGAACUGAGAGGUCAAUCCCCCACACUGGCACUGAGAUACGGGCCAGACUCCUACGGGAGGCAGCAGUAGGGAAUAUUGGGCAAUGGACGCAAGUCUGACCCAGCCAUGCCGCGUGCAGGAUGAAGGCGUUAUGCGUUGUAAACUGCUUUUAUACAGGAAGAAACGACUCUUGCGAGAGGCAUUGACGGUACUGUAUGAAUAAGCACCGGCUAACUCCGUGCCAGCAGCCGCAGUAAAAC
rnacentral:rRNA from 1 species